rnacentral:other from 1 species
CACCGCCUGCGGUGUUCGCAAGUUCUCGCCAAUCCCUUAGAACCUGUAUCACAGACCGGGGAUCAUUUUGCAGGCGCCGUUGUGCAUGUCCCGUUUUAUCCGGGAAAGCCUUAAGGCGCCGCAGUGGCCCCACUUGAACCUUUAGGUUCAAGGUACACCGGGAACCUGCGGCACAGGCGGGUGGUGC